rnacentral:piRNA from 1 species
UACGAGAUCAAGGUGGGACCGAAGCCAAU